rnacentral:lncRNA from 12 species
AUGACCCAAAAUGGGAAAACACAAGAUGCCUCAAAUGCACUGAACCUAACUGAGAUAACGAGGACCUGGAUCUCAGACCUGAACCUCCAACUGAGCAUGAUGAGAACUAGAAGAAUACAGAGGAGCAUUUAUAUGCAUUCUAUGGAAUUGAUUUCACUGUGUUGAAAUAUGCCAUAGGAAGUGCAAAGGAACAUGGAAUCAGAAAAUUGAAAUCAUCUACAUCUAAUUAAAAUAUACAUGAUCUGGGAUGCCUGAUUGGCUCAGUCAGUCAAGCAUUUGCUUUUUGCUCAGGCCAUGAUCUUGGAGUCUUGGGAUGGAGCCCAUGUCUGGCUCCAUGCUCAGCAUAGACUCUACUUCACCCUCUGUUCCUCCUCUGCUCAUGUUCUCUCUCCAAUGAAUAAAUACAUUCUUUAAAAAAUAUACA